rnacentral:rRNA from 1 species
AUGACAAGAUCCAGAGUCAAUUCGUGGGCUUCGUCAAUCGUGGGAGAUGUGCCACCACCUUCCAAAAUAGAACCACCGUCACAAGCGGUGCACACACAUCAGAAUGCGCACAAUCAGGUUGUUGUUUUCAUACCACCAUUUAGUGGUCGUUUUAGACCUGCUUUAUAUAUUGAAUGGGAGUUCGACAUAAAUAAUAUAUUCGCUUCCCAUAGUUUUACUGAACGUAAAAAAGCUAAGGCCGUGGUUGGUUCAUUGAUUGGUUAUGCUUCAGUUUGGUGGCGCGAAUAUUGUCGGUUACACCCUGAUUAUAUACCUACUACUUGGGAUGAUUUGAAACUUGCCAUGAGACAUACAUUUGGCCCCUCUUAUUAUACUCGUGACAUGAUUAAAAAUUUGCAACAGCUAAAACAAGGUAGUGACACCGUAACGAAAUGA